CCUACGGGAGGCAGCAGUGGGGGAUAUUGCACAAUGGGGGAAACCCUGAUGCAGCGACGCCGCGUGUGGGAAGACGGUCCUCUGGAUUGUAAACCACUGUCCCCAGGGACGAAGAUGACGGUACCUGGGGAGGAAGCUCCGGCUAACUACGUGCCAGCAGCCGCGGUAAUACGUAGGGAGCGAGCGUUGUCCGGAAUUACUGGGUGUAAAGGGAGCGUAGGCGGGACUGCAAGUUGGGUGUCAAAUCUACGGGCUCAACCGGUAGCCGCACUCAAAACUGCAGUUCUUGAGUGAAGUAGAGGCAGGCGGAAUUCCUAGUGUAGCGGUGAAAUGCGUAGAUAUUAGGAGGAACACCAGUGGCGAAGGCGGCCUGCUGGGCUUUUACUGACGCUGAGGCUCGAAAGUGUGGGGAGCAAACAGGAUUAGAUACCCCAGUAGUC
rnacentral:rRNA from 1 species